GGGCCAGUGGCCCAGCCUGGUUAAGGCGCCCGGCUGAUAACCGGGAGAUCGCCGGUUCGAAUCCGGCCUGGCCCA
rnacentral:tRNA from 1 species